GGCAUGCCUUACACAUGCAAGUCGAACGGUAACAGGUCUUCGGAUGCUGACGAGUGGCGAACGGGUGAGUAAUACAUCGGAACGUGCCCGAGAGUGGGGGAUAACGAAGCGAAAGCUUUGCUAAUACCGCAUACGAUCUCAGGAUGAAAGCAGGGGACCGCAAGGCCUUGCGCUCACGGAGCGGCCGAUGGCAGAUUAGGUAGUUGGUGGGAUAAAAGCUUACCAAGCCGACGAUCUGUAGCUGGUCUGAGAGGACGACCAGCCACACUGGGACUGAGACACGGCCCAGACUCCUACGGGAGGCAGCAGUGGGGAAUUUUGGACAAUGGGCGCAAGCCUGAUCCAGCCAUGCCGCGUGCAGGAUGAAGGCCUUCGGGUUGUAAACUGCUUUUGUACGGAACGAAAAGACUCUGGUUAAUACCUGGGGUCCAUGACGGUACCGUAAGAAUAAGCACCGGCUAACUACGUGCCAGCAGCCGCGGUAAUACGUAGGGUGCGAGCGUUAAUCGGAAUUACUGGGCGUAAAGCGUGCGCAGGCGGUUAUGUAAGACAGAUGUGAAAUCCCCGGGCUCAACCUGGGAACUGCAUUUGUGACUGCGUAGCUAGAGUACGGCAGAGGGGGAUGGAAUUCCGCGUGUAGCAGUGAAAUGCGUAGAUAUGCGGAGGAACGCCGAUGGCGAAGGCAAUCCCCUGGGCCUGUACUGACGCUCAUGCACGAA
rnacentral:rRNA from 1 species